UUUCCGGUUGAUCCCGCCGGACCUGACUGCUAUCGGAUUGAUACUAAGCCAUGCGAGUCAUUGUAGCAAUACAAGGCAGACGGCUCAGUAACGCGUAGUCAACCUAACCUAUGGACGGGAAUAACCUCGGGAAACUGAGAAUAAUGCCCGAUAGAACACUAUGCCUGGAAUGGUUUGUGUUCCAAAUGAUUUAUCGCUGUAGGAUGGGACUGCGGCCUAUCAGUUUGUUGGUGAGGUAAUGGCCCACCAAGACUAUUACAGGUACGGGCUCUGAGAGGAGUGGCCCGGAGAUGGGUACUGAGACACGGACCCAGGCCCUAUGGGGCGCAGCAGGCGAGAAAACUUUGCAAUGUGCGAAAGCACGACAAGGUUAAUCCGAGUGGUUUCUGCUAAAGGAACCUUUUGUCGGUCCUAGAAACACCGAUGAAUAAGGGGUGGGCAAGUUCUGGUGUCAGCCGCCGCGGUAAAACCAGCACCUCAAGUGGUCAGGAUGAUUAUUGGGCCUAAAGCAUCCGUAGCCUGCUUUGUUAGUUUUCGGUUAAAUCUGUACGCUCAACGUACAGGCUGCCGGGAAUACUGCGAAGCUAGGGAGUGGGAGAGGUAGACGGUACUCGGUAGGAAGGGGUAAAAUCCUUUGAUCUAUUGAUGACCACCUGUGGCGAAGGCGGUCUACCAGAACAUGUCCGACGGUGAGGGAUGAAAGCUGGGGGAGCAAACCGGAUUAGAUACCCGGGUAGUCCCAGCUGUAAACCAUGCAAACUCAGUGAUGCAUUGGCUUGUGGCCAAUGCAGUGCUGCAGGGAAGCCGUUAAGUUUGCCGCCUGGGAAGUACGUACGCAAGUAUGAAACUCAAAGGAAUUGGCGGGGGAGCACCACAAGGGGUGAAGCCUGCGGUUCAAUUGGAUUCAACGCCGGAA
rnacentral:rRNA from 1 species